GACGAACGCUGGCGGCGUGCCUAAUACAUGCAAGUCGAACGCUGAAGAGAGGAGCUUACUCUUCUUGGAUGAGUUGCGAACGGGUGAGUAACGCGUAGGUAACCUGCCUUGUAGCGGGGGAUAACUAUUGGAAACGAUAGCUAAUACCGCAUAACAAUGGAUGCCACAUGUCAUAUAUUUGAAAGGCGCAAUUGCUCUACUACAAGAUGGACCCGCGUUGUAUUAGCUAGUAGGUGAGGUAAUGGCUUACCUAGGCAACGAUACGUAGCCGACCUGAGAGGGUGAUCGGCCACACUGGGACUGAGACACGGCCCAGACUCCUACGGGAGGCAGCAGUAGGGAAUCUUCGGCAAUGGGGGCAAGCCUGACCGAGCACGCCGCGGGAGGUAAGAAGGUUUUCGGAUCGGAAAGCUCUGUUGUAAGGCGAGAACGAAUGGGGGAGGUGAAAAUGCACACUUUGACGGUAGCUUACCAGAAAGCGACGGCUAACUACGUG
rnacentral:rRNA from 1 species